rnacentral:misc_RNA from 1 species
CCACCGCUUGAGCACUGCUGUUGAUCUCUUCACGCUGCUGUUAUCUUCGUGGUUCGGCAUAAGAAACCAGUAAAAUAGGUACCAGCCUCAAAAAGCACACAAGGUGAGGCUUCAAUUAGUUGGAUUAAAUUUGCUCUACGUGGUGCCCCAGCAUGGCCGUAGUCUAGUGACUGAAACAGCCAGAAAACAAAAACGAAUAGAAAUCAGAUAUAACUCGUAAAGGGAAUUAACCUUUUCCACAUUAAUGUGUUUGUAACAUCUUUUACAGUGAAACCGAAAAUUGAAAUCAAAAUCACAAACACCGAAUAUAUUCUAAUGGCCAACUGUUCAUUACCAUUUACUACGAUAAAUUGUUAUCAAGGAAAGAAACUUUUGAAAUUUACCAAUGUCAGUCAGAGCAACUGUUCUGAUGGGAGGACGUUUAGCAACAUCAGAACAUUAAGAUAUUCCGAUUUUUCUGGAUCUGUGGUCUGCUGGUUUACUAUUGGCAAGAUAUUCAUGGAAUACCGAUUGUUGCAUUUUGAGAGUGAAAACUCUUUCCGAAGACAUCUUACCGACGAACCUCUUCGGCUGAUCGCCUCUAUUACUUUCUUCACUGCGCUGAUCGCAGUUGGUUACUUUCUAUUUGGGAAGUUGAGAAGUAGAAUGAAAAUUCUAACACGUGGAAACGGUAAAGAUUCUACCCAUAGAAAUUUCACCACCGAAAUUCUUCUUCGGGGUCUGUAUUUUGCUCUCAUUAUCGCCACGAUCUUUCCUCUCGUCAUUCCAUGUCAGAUGAGAAUAGAGAAACAUCUAAAAUACAAACAGGAUGAAGAUACUUUCAUAUCGAUUUGCAUUGUCGCCAUUAUCUUUGGGAUUUUCUCAAUCCCUCUCUUCUUUGCAUGGCUCAUAGCUUUUUACAAACUGUACAAAAUGGGACAACAAAUGGAGACUGUAACAGGUGAAGAUUCUCAACAACGAAAUCGUAAUUCCGCCAUUGUUCCUCUGUAUGUACCUCUUCCUGAAUUCAUUGUAAUGAUAGUGGCUCUUAUCUUUUCGUGCAGAAAAUGUGAACAGGGUGCAGGAUGUCCCACAUGUCUUCUCGCUAGUGUUGUCUCCAUACUUCUUCUAAGCAUAGCACUUUUCUAUUGGUUGAAGAAGAGAACUCAAAUUCGAAAAUGGGAAAGAGCUAAAAAAUACCUCAUAGAUAUUUGUGUUGUUACCAUUCGCCUUCUGGAAGGAAUUUUGAUGUUUAUCGCUGUACCUUUCUUGUGGAUUAGAAGUCGUUUGCAGACGAUGAGUCAAAGACUAACCCGUAAAAAAGUGACUGAGAGAGAAUUUCGGGAUCCUGAAGUCAAUCCGUUAUCAAAUGAAGAUCCGGGUCAUUUGUGAGUGACCUCUCUGCGAGGAUGUCCAGACCCAACAGUAUACAUACCAAUAUAUAGGUUCCACACAUCUAAAAUUCAAGUUUAGAUACGACAACCAUAUUUCCUCUUUGAAGCAUGAAGCUAAAUCUAACAAUACAUCUCUAGCACCAUUAUAUGGAAUUUAAAAUUAAAAAUAUGCGAGACACGCCAUCUUGGACAAUUGUUACAAAAGCUACUACUCAUAAAAUAGUCAUUUGGCAGCGGCCACGCUUGAGUACCGCUUUAGUUGAAGCAUCAACCUCAGGACUUAUUCUUUGUAAUCCCAGUACUUAUUCUAUCGGUCUGUUUUACCGAACAGCUAAGUUACGGAACAUAAUCACACCAGCAUCUGUUUUCAAUCGACAAUGGGGUUACAAACACAGACUCAAACAUGUACAUAUAUAUGUAUACAACAGGCUUCUUUCAGUUUCCCCUCCCAAAUCCA